GGUGGCUUCCAGACGCUUCUGAGUACUGACAACAGUGUGCUCUGCUGCCAAGGCAUCCUGCCUCCCUAUGGAGAACAUGGAGUAGUCAUUUAAUACCUGCCACCCAAGGGACUGGAUGGAAGAAGGGCAGGCUUCAGAGGAUUUAUACUCUGAAGACAGUUAUGUUUGAUCUGAAAAUGAAAAAGUGGUGGGGAACCAGCACAAAGGCACUGUGUAUAAAUCAGGAAACAAGCCCUCACCAGAUACCAAGUCUACUGGCACCUUGAUCUUGGACUUCCCAUCCUCCAGAACUGUGAGAAAUAAAUUUCUGUUGUUUAUAAGUCA